rnacentral:rRNA from 1 species
GACGAACGCUGGCGGCGUGCCUAAUACAUGCAAGUAGAACGCUGAAGGAGGAGCUUGCUCUUCUGGAUGAGUUGCGAACGGGUGAGUAACGCGUGGGUAACCUGCCCGGUAGCGGGGGAUAACUAUUGGAAACGAUAGCUAAUACCGCAUAACAUUGACUAUUGCAUGAUAGUCAAUUGAAAGGUGCAAUUGCACCACUACCAGAUGGACCUGCGUUGUAUUAGCUAGUUGGUGGGGUAACGGCUCACCAAGGCGACGAUACAUAGCCGACCUGAGAGGGUGAUCGGCCACACUGGGACUGAGACACGGCCCAGACUCCUACGGGAGGCAGCAGUAGGGAAUCUUCGGCAAUGGACGGAAGUCUGACCGAGCAACGCCGCGUGAGUGAAGAAGGUUUUCGGAUCGUAAAAGCUCUGUUGUAAGAGAAAGAAACGAAGUGUGAAGAGUGGAAAAGUUCCACCAC